rnacentral:rRNA from 1 species
AGAGUUUGAUCCUGGCUCAGGACGAACGCUGGCGGCGUGCUUAACACAUGCAAGUCGAAGGCACCCAGGGGCAACUCUGGGUGACUGGCGAACGGGUGCGUAACACGUGAGCGAUCUACCCUGGUGUGGGGGAUAGCCGGCCCAACGGCCGGGUAAUACCGCAUGCGCUUUGGUCUUCGCAUGGAGACCCAAGCAAAGUCUUCGGACGCAUUGGGAGGAGCUCGCGGCCUAUCAGCUAGUUGGCGGUGUCACGGACCACCAAGGCGACGACGGGUAGCUGGUCUGAGAGGAUGGCCAGCCACAUUGGGACUGAGAGACGGCCCAGACUCCUACGGGAGGCAGCAGUGGGGAAUCUUGCGCAAUGGGCGAAAGCCUGACGCAGCGACGCCGCGUGCGGGAGGACGGCCUUCGGGUCGUAAACCGCUGUUGCCCGGGACGAAAAGCCCUUUCGAGGGCGUUGACGGUACCGGGUGAGGAAGCACCGGCUAACUCCGUGCCAGCAGCCGCGGUAAUACAGAGGGGGCAAGCGUUGUCCGGACUUACUGGGCGUACAGCGCGCGCAGGCGGUGCCAUAUGUGCCCGGUGACAUCUGCUCGCUUAACGAGCAGCGGCCCGGGUAGACAGUGGCGCUGGAGGCAGGGAGAGGGAUGUGGAAUACCCGGUGGAGCGGUGAAAUGCGUAGAGAUCGGGUGGAACACCAGCGGCGAAGGCGGCAUCCUGGCCCUGAACUGACGCUGAGGCGCGAUAGCGUGGGGAGCAAACGGGAUUAGAUACCCCCGUAGUCC